rnacentral:rRNA from 1 species
UACGGAGGGUGCAAGCGUUGUCCGGAAUCACUGGGCGUAAAGGGCGCGUAGGCGGCUCAUGAAGGCUGUGGUGAAAGUCCGGGGCUCAACCUCGGAUCGGCCGUGGCGACUCGUGGGCUGGAGCACCUGUAGAGGCGGGUGGAAUUCCGGGUGUAGCGGUGGAAUGCGUAGAGAUCCGGAAGAACACCAGUGGCGAAGGCGGCCCGCUGGGCAGUGGCUGACGCUGAGGCGCGACAGCGUGGG